GCCUCUAUAGCUCAGUUGGUAGAGCAGCGGACUCUUAAUCCGCGGGUCGUGGGUUCGAGUCCCUCUGGAGGUA
rnacentral:tRNA from 1 species